GAGUUCACGUCACUGUACUCUUU
rnacentral:snRNA from 1 species